GAUGAAGAACGUAGCGAAAUGCGAUAAGUAAUGUGAAUUGCAGAAUUCAGUGAAUCAUCGAAUCUUUGAACGCACAUUGCGCCCGCUAGUAUUCUGGCGGGCAUGCCUGUCCGAGCGUCAUUUCAACCCUCAAGCCCCCGGGCUUGGUGUUGGGGAUCGGCGAGCCUCCGCGCCCGCCGUCCCCUAAAUCUAGUGGCGGUCUCGCUGUAGCUUCCUCUGCGUAGUAGCACACCUCGCACUGGGAAACAGCGCGGCCACGCCGUUAAACCCCCAACUUCAGAACGUUUGACCUCGGAUCAGGUAGGAAUACCCGCUGAACUUAAGCAUAUCAAUAAGCGGAGGA
rnacentral:misc_RNA from 1 species